rnacentral:rRNA from 1 species
GUGGGGAAUUUUGGACAAUGGGCGCAAGCCUGAUCCAGCAAUGCCGCGUGCAGGAAGAAGGCCUUCGGGUUGUAAACUGCUUUUGUACGGAACGAAAAGGCUCUGGUUAAUACCUGGGGCUCAUGACGGUACCGUAAGAAUAAGCACCGGCUAACUACGUGCCAGCAGCCGCGGUAAUACGUAGGGUGCAAGCGUUAAUCGGAAUUACUUGGCGUAAAGCGUGCGCAGGCGGUUUUGUAAGACAGACGUGAAAUCCCCGGGCUCAACCUGGGAACUGCAUCUGUGACUGCAUUGCUGGAGUGCGGCAGAGGGGGAUGGAAUUCCGCGUGUAGCAGUGAAAUGCGUAGAUAUGCGGAGGAACACCGAUGGCGAAGGCAAUCCCCUGGGCCUGCACUGACGCUCAUGCACGAAAGCGUGGGGAGCAAACAGGAUUAGAAACCCUUGUAGUCC